rnacentral:rRNA from 1 species
UAAUACGUAGGGGGCAAGCGUUGUCCGGAUUUAUUGGGCGUAAAGAGCGUGUAGGCGGCCAUGCAGGUCCGCUGUGAAAGUCGGGGGCUCAACCCUCGAAUGCCGGUGGAUACUGUAGGGCUAGAGUGCGGAAGAGGCGAGUGGAAUUCCUGGUGUAGCGGUGAAAUGCGCAGAUAUCAAGAGGAACACCUAUUGCGAAGGCAGCUCGCUGGGACGUAACUGACGCUGAGACGCGAAAGCGUGGGGAGCGAACAGGA